rnacentral:rRNA from 1 species
UCCAGGCAUAUGGGCGAAAGCCUGAUCCAGCAAUGCCGCUUGAGUGAUCAAGGCCUUAGGGUUGUAAAGCUAUUUUACCCGGGGUGAUAAUGACGGUACCUGCAGAAUAAGCUCCGGCUAACUACGUGCCAGCAGCCGCGGUAAUACGUAGGGAGCAAGCGUUGUUCGGAAUUACUGGGCGUAAAGCGCACGUAGGCGGUUUUGUAAGUUAGAGGUGAAAGCCCGGGGCUUAACCCCAGAAUUGCACUUGAUACUGCAUAGCUUGAGUCCGGGAGAGGGGGGUGGAAUUCCGAGUGUAGCAGUGAAAUGUGUAGAUAUUGGAAGAACACCAAUGGGAAAGGCAGGCCUCCACUGGGACUAGUAUUGACGCGAUGCACGAAU